CCUAGUCUAUAUAAGGGCUUUCCUUAAGUCAAGAGGGCAUCGGUUGUUUGAGAGUUUGUCCUAGCUUCAGAGUGUUUUUCAAAGAGUGUCUUCAAGUUUCUAGUAUUUCUUCUGAAUCUCUUUGUCAAUUUUUUACUUAGUGUGUGAUCAGUCCAUCUGGUGGCAUGUCAAGUUCUCCUACUUUCUCUCUUUUAGUUUGUCUCCCACUAUAUGUAUCCUAAGCGCCUCAGUGAAGGAUGCGGGUAACGAAGCGUAUUGCCACCUGCAUGGGCUUCACCCUGUCGCGUGACCGCUGCAAACGACAAUACCUAUCGCCGUCGGCAAAGGGUCAUGACAAUACUCGUCGCCGCGCGCUUGCUUCUUCUGCGCUUCUCUGCGCCCAUCAUUGUGAGCCCUACGAGAAGUAAUCGUCGCAAGACCUAUGAGAAGUUAUCGCCAUGCACCUCAUUAGGAGCCAUCGCUGCUGGCUAGGGACCUGUGGCCUCCUCGUGCUACCAACGACGAUGCCUAUUACCAUAUGGAUUCUUCCUCCCUCUGUCGUCUCUCUCUCUUCUCUUCAUCUUUUUCUCUUCUAACUUGACUGAGGGUAGAUCUAGCUUAGCACUGUCAUAUCGGUCUCGGUUUUGAGUAGUGUUGCCGCCGUGCUGGUCCUGAGGACUAUGCCCAUCUUGCUACCACUCCGAGUCGAUAAUUGUCAGGAUGUCAUGCUAGCUUCACCUCUUCAUCGAGUUUUUUUUCUUUUUUCUAUCUUUAUCUAAAACUUUACGUUUCAUCAUGCUCUCACAUGAACGUACGUUUCCCUAAGACAAGGGUGGGUCUCCUUGACCCAUUUGUCUUACAAAUUAACCCUAAAAGUUUUGUGCAUAAAAUAAGAGGAUUGCAGGUUGAGGGAGGCGAUUCCGAACCAGUUAAAGCAGCUGGGGGGCUUUUUUCGUGAUCUAAGAGGGCGCUCAUACGAGCCAGCCAGAGGCAUUGUGGGGAGGUUACGGCUAAUCAUGCGGAAUUGGAAUCUUUGCUGCAAGGCUUGCUAAUCUACAUGGAGAGAGUCCACUGUAAUUUUUACUAUGCAUAUUAUGUGGAUUGUAUGUAACCCGGGUUGAAUGAUAUCGGUGGCUCAUUCCCUUGAGAAAGGCAUAGAGAUUGAAGAUGAAUACAUAAUCAGUGAGAAAGAGCUCUUGGUGAACAGUUUUAUUUCAAUUCCCUAUGACAUGGGGACAUUCAAUUGUGGGGCAUUUGUUGCUGGCAUAGUAAGGGGUUUCCUGGACGUUGAAUGUUCCAGCUACUGUAUCUGCUUACCUUGUGCCAAUGGAGGGACAACAAAGACCCAGGACAACUAUAUUGAUAAAAUUUGCAGAAGAGGCUCUUAAUUCUCUAAAGAAGUUGCCCUUUUAAGAGUCAUCGAUUUGGAGAAGAAAUGGAAUGGAACAAAAUAGGAACAAAAGUAGAAUAAGUGCUACUUAUAAUCAAUUCUGAAAUGGAAUGGAACAGAAGAGGAACAAAAGAGGAAUAAGUGCUACUUAUAAUCAGUUCACAGAAUGUUCAGCUACCCCCUGGUUACCAGUUUUCUCCAACUGACGAAUUGCUUCGCAUUUAUUAUUUCAUGAUAAAGAUCAAUUCUUUCUCAGUACUUGGGGACAUGAUUGAAGAUCUUGAUAUUUAUAACUUUGACCCUUGUGCUCUUCGUACUGACAGAAACGGCUUGCUUGCAACGAAUACGUGCUUCGGUAAAGACACAUGAUAUUCUUUCAUGCAAAGAAAGAGGUCUUCUCGUCAGUUGAACUCCUGUGGAAUAUCAGACUGCUCUUUCGGGCUACACGAUAUCAUUGUGGUCGAUGAGAUUCUACAAUUGAAGAAAGAUGGUGAGGAGGUGAUUGAAUGGGUGUUGUGCAAAGUUUAUAAAAGUCCUAAUAGCGGCAAACACAGGGCUAAGAAACAAAACAGUCCCACACAUAAGACUAGAAGAUAAAGGCGACUGGCCUACAAAGAGAUGAGAUUGAGGCACUCAUAUUAGAUUGCUAUCGUGAGAUCUCAUUUAAUAAUUUGAAGAUACAAAUUGAUGCGAUGGAUGUACUUAUAUUUGUUUAUAAUAGUGAGCUCUCUUCUAGUAAUUCAGAUGAACUUGAUGUACAUGCUUUGAUAUAAUUAAUAGGAGAAAAAAAUUAAAGGUAAUAUUAUUGAUGAGGGAUUGAUCUAUAGACAUGAAGUAGUCUAAGUCAUCCAAAAUUAGCUGAUAAAAAUGUCAAGACGUCUCUUCUUCGUAUUGUGUCAAAGCAUGUGAUUGAUACCUAUUAUAUUAGGUAUCAUAAAAAAAGUAAUUCAAAUGACGGUUUACAAGCUUUGACCCAAUUGAUAAGAUUAGAAAAUUAAAGAAAUUGGUUUGCUGAAACCUGAAUGUAUUAUAGUAGUACAUAUGAAUCACAUGUUUUGACACAAUACGAAAAAGAGAAGUCUUGACAUCUUUAUCAACUAAUUUUGGAUGACUCAAACUAUUAUACUUGUAGAUCAAUCCCUCAUCAAGUUCCAUCCUUUUGAUUUUAUUCUUUAUUAAUUGUGUCAAAUUUUGUAAAUCAAUGUCAUCUAAAUUACUAAAAGAGAGCUCACUACUAUAAGCAAAUAUGAGUGCAUCCAUCUUAACAACUUGCAUCUUUAAAUUACUAGAGGAGAUCUCACGAUAGCAAUAUAAUAUGAGUGCUUCUAUCUUAUUACUUUGUAUCUUCUCUUUUACAUCAAUGUCAUCCCCUUAUAUCAACUCUUCUUUUGCAUCUACAUCAUUACUUCUUCUUCUUUUGCAUCUGCAUCUUUACUUCUUCUGCAACUAUAUCAUCACUUAUCAAAGACAUGUUAACUAGACUUCCUUUCCUUGCAAAAAGGGUUUGGCCUCGGGAGGUAGCUCAUUUUGGUAUUUGUAGAGAGAGUUGGCCUAUGUUCCAAUAGCUCAUUUUGGUGCUUCCUCCCCAAUGGGGAACUAGCACAUUCUUCUUGGAUUUGUGGGUUUUAUGAAGAGUUGUUAUCUAUUUAUCAUACCAUAUUUAAUCUAUUGCUAUACAACUCCAAUGAGUGGAUUUUUCCACAAUUGAAAAGUUGUCAUCUAUUAGUCAUAGCAUAUUCUAUCUAUUGCUAUACAAUGCCAAUGAGUGAGUUUUACCACAAUUGAAAAGCGGGUUGACCAUAAUUGAAGAGUUAUUAUCUAAGUACAUGAUUGGGUUUCACCAAAAUUGAAUAGUAAAUGUGGGUUUUUUCACUAAGCCCAGAAAGACAUGGUUGGAAUUAGUGAGAAAAGAUAGUGAGAUUUUGGUCUCACUGAGUGUAUGACUCUUAAUAGAAUAGAAUGACGUAUCGGGAUUUGUGUAGCCGACCCAAUUAAUUGGAAAAAGGCUCUGAUGAUGAUCUGGAUUUGUGUAGCCGACCCAAUUAAUUGGAAAAAGGCUAUGAUGAUGACCUGGAUUGCUGUAGCCGACCCAAUUAAUUUGAAAAAAGCUAUGAUGAUGCUUGUUUGAUUGGUUUCAAGAUUUAUCUAACACGAUAGCUUCUUAUGUAAUUCAAUGAAAAUUCAAGGACAUUUUGGCGCUUUUUAACCCCUUUCCUCUUCAUGAACAUUGUAUUAUAAACCCUCGUCUUUGGUCCGCCUUGACCUUUCUUUAUAUAUUACCAUUUUAUAAGAGUUGAUCUUUGUGUGUCUUUAUACAUUGCUAAUUAGUAAUCCUGCAUUGUAGAAUACAAUAGAACUAAAAGAUUAUGUGGUGUUAACACUAUGUUGUCGUUGAGAUUUUUUUUCUCUUCGAGGUUUGAAAUUUGUUUAUAGUUUUUUGAAGUAGGAUCCAACACGAUUUGAUUAACACCAACUUAAUUGUCGUCGUGGUUAAGUAGUUGGGUUUGCAUUAGGCUGAAUGGGCCCACCAAAAAGCCAUAAAAAAGAAGUUAUUGUAAUUUAUGAAAAUGACAGUUCGGUCUAUGGUAGUCUAUUAUGUAUUUUGCAUAACUUAUUUUCUUGCAUUAAGUGUUGACUAUGUUGGCUACCCUAUGGUUGUUGCUGCACCACUUGAUAAUGUCGAUUGGGUAAUUAUCUUAUCUUGUGGGGUUGCUAGAAGAAGCACGAAGCUGAAUUAAGUUUCAUAGCUAUAUUUAUAAUGUGUGGGUGCAUACGCUUGUGUUUCGUAUUCGAAUUUCUUAACCGUUCAUGGUUACUAAUGAACACUUCAGUCCUCUGCUAUUUUUACUGUGCAUACAAAGGAGACAUACAUAAUUGUGUGAACUAUCGAGGGAUCAAGCUUAUGAGCCGUACUAUGAAACUCUGAGCGAGAGUGAUUGAGCAAUGACUAAGGCAUGAAACGAGCGUAUCUGAAAAUCAAUUUGAUUUAUGUUAGGAAGG